rnacentral:rRNA from 1 species
CCUACGGGAGGCAGCAGUGAGGAAUAUUGGUCAAUGGGCGGAAGCCUGAACCAGCCAAGUCGCGUGAGGGAAUAAGGCCCUACGGGUCGUAAACCUCUUUUGCCGGGGAGCAAGGGCGGGGACGUGUCCCGGCCCGGCGAGUACCCGGAGAAAAAGCAUCGGCUAACUCCGUGCCAGCAGCCGCGGUAAUACGGAGGGUGAGAGCGUUAUCCGGAUUUAUGGGGGGUAAAGGGUGCGUAGGCGGGGUGUUACGUUAGGGGUAAAAAUUCGGGGCCAAAACCCGUACGGCCGUUGAAACUGGACGGCUGGAGUGGAGGAGAGGUAAGUGGAAUGCGUAGUGUAGCGGUGAAAUGCGUAGAUAUCAGGAGGAACACCAGUGGCGAAGGCGGCUUACCGG